GGAAGAUGGCUGCGCCCUGUGGCUCGGAGCUGCCCACCGACUCGCCACUGAAGAUCCCGAAGAUGGAGGUGCUGUCCCCGGCCUCUCCGGGCGGCCUGAGCGAUGGGAACCCAUCCCUGUCCGACCCUUCCACGCCCAGCGGCGCCUCCCCGCUCGGAUCCGGCAGCGCGGCUGGCUCGGGGACAGCGACGGCGGCGUCUGGGGCCGGGGGACUGGGGCUGGGGGCCCGCAGCGCCGCCUCGUCCUCGGUCUCCUUUUCCCCCGGCGGCGGCGGCGGGGCCGCAGCAGCUGCCGCCGCUGCCUGCCGGGGCAUGUCGUGGACCCCGGCCGAGACCAACGCUCUGAUAGCUGUGUGGGGCAACGAGCGGCUGGUGGAGGCGCGGUACCAGCAGCUGGAGGGAGCCGGCACGGUGUUCGGCAGCAAGGCCCCUGGGCCAGCCAUGUACGAGCGCGUGUCCCGGGCCCUGGCCGAGCUGGGCUACGAGCGGACCCCGUCCCAGUGCCGGGAGCGCAUCAAGCCUUUGCAGCUGCAAAAUCCACCAGUUCCUAGACAUCAACAGCCCACAAGAAUUAAUCUGGGAGACAACCCUGGCUCUCCCUCAGGGUGUGGAGGCCUGGGCAGCAUGGCGAUGGAGACCUUUGUGAAAGAUAUCAAGCCCAGGAUUUAAGAACCUGAAUCUCAUCUUCAUUGUGCUAGAGACAGGCCGAGUGACCAAGACAAAAGACAUGAGCUGGUGCGAUGCCCAGAACUGAAUGCUGUGCUCCAGCUGUUGCCUCACCGGUGCUGAAUAGAGAGGAAGAGCCACCUUCAUAGCUUACAUGUGAUUCCUCUGCUUAUACAACCCAAUACUGGAUUUACUUAUUUUGGCAAGAGAGUUGCAUUGUGCACUGUAUUUAAUGUUUCGUGUACUGUAACCCUGGGUCUUUCUCUGCAUUGCUACUGUUAAACCCAAAUCCUGCCAAUCUCAAUUCCUGCCUCUGUUUACUCCUCAGAUAGACUGCUUUGCAUUCAUCCACAAUGAAUGUCAUCUUCUUGUUCUUUCAUUUUCUUUUCUUUUAAUCUUAAAAUUGACCAAAAAAUUAACUCAGUUCUACAAGUUGUCAGUCAUCUUUUUCUCCCUACUUUGGUAGUGGGGCAUUUUUCAAAUCUUUUCUUUGAUUCUCACCUUUUUUUUAAUCCUCAAAUAAUUGGCAUAGUGGACAUCAAUAAAAAGUUCACUUGGCAUUUCUUCUAAACUUAGUACUGAAGCACUCACACCUGUGAUUUGGUCAUCUGAUCAAAUUGGUAUUUUAGUGUUCAUAUAGUCAUAAUUUAAAAAAAAACUUGUUCAAGAUACAACGUAAUAUGUGACUGUUAACAAUUUUCUCUGUGGGAACAAUCAUGUAUCUAUAUAGUUUUUUGUGGAAAUAUCUAAAUAUCUGGUAGUAGCUACACUGCCUUUACUCCAUUUUGGAUAUUUUCUGUAGCCUGGGAAAAGUGAAUCCUCUAAUAGGUUUAAGUAAAUUCUCUUCCCCUAAAUUUUAAUUCACUUAAAAUUUUUUUCUGAACCUACGUUACUUUGACUUCUGAGAUGGGUAAAAGGGAGAAGGGAGGAAGGAGGCCAAGAGAGAAAGAAGCAUCUCUUCUUAUAGUUGAAAUGACUUUCCUAAGAAAGGCCAGAAUUAGGUUCUUGCCAGAUAUGGCCUGUCAGCAAAUGAGGGGUGAGGCUUCUCCCUGAGAAUCAUCAAGGUUCACAUUCUCAGAUUCUGUAAUGUUGUCAUUUUAAUGUCAGGACUCAAACUAGGGCAUUUCCCUAAGUUCUUUUAUUUAUUAUAGUAUGUAUUUUUUAUAUUGUAUCCCUUAGAUAAUCUUUUGUAGUUAGGAAGGUCUACUUUUUUCUGGUCAGGAUAUAUGUGAUAAGAGUAGGAAUCUCCUUCCCUCCUAUUUAUCCACCCCAGAUCCCCUGGCUUAGCUAUAUCACAGUGUUUCUCAUAGGAUUAGACAAGCUGAUUUUCUGAGUUUUAAUGUUUCCUUCAAGUCUGGAGACAUGAUCUGUCUUGAUGAACGUGCCUUACAUAUGUUAUAUGAAAAGUAUGAAAUCUUCUUGGUUCUUGGGUCCAUGCUGGAGAUCAGCAAGGCAGUUCUGCCUAAACAUUUCUUGAAAUAUGUACAUUUCUUGAGAGAACUGAAGCUGUAUUUACCUGGAGGCAGUGUGGUACAGUGGAAAGAAUACCAGCCAUGGAAUCAGAAGACCUUGGUUCAAAUCCUGUCUCUG